GUUGUAUGGUUAAGUGACUAAGCGUACACGGUGGAUGCCUUGGCAGUCAGAGGCGAUGAAAGACGUAGUAACUUGCGAUAAGCCCAGAUUAGGUAGUAACAACCAUUUGAGUCUGGGAUUUCUGAAUGGGGAAACCCACGUGCAUAAGCACGUAUCCUUACCUGAAUACAUAGGGUAAGGAGGCGAACCGGGGGAACUGAAACAUCUAAGUACCCCGAGGAAAAGAAAUCAACCGAGAUUCCGAAAGUAGCGGCGAGCGAAAUUGGACUAGCCCUUAAGCUUUACACGCGUUAGACGAACGGUCUGGAAAGUCCGACGAUACAGGGUGAUAGUCCCGUAGUUGACGACGUGUGUUCAGUGAAAUCGAGUAGGGCGGGACACGUGAUAUCCUGUCUGAAUAUGGGGGGACCAUCCUCCAAGGCUAAAUACUACUGACUGACCGAUAGUGAACCAGUACCGUGAGGGAAAGGCGAAAAGAACCCCUGUGAGGGGAGUGAAAUAGAACCUGAAACCGUGUACGUACAAGCAGUAGGAGCACCUUCGUGGUGUGACUGCGUACCUUUUGUAUAAUGGGUCAGCGACUUAUAUUCAGUGGCAAGGUUAACCAUCUAGGGGAGCCGUAGGGAAACCGAGUCUUAACUGGGCGUUCAGUCUCUGGAUAUAGACCCGAAACCAGGUGAUCUAGCCAUGGGCAGGUUGAAGGUUGAGUAACAUCAACUGGAGGACCGAACCGACUAAUGUUGAAAAAUUAGCGGAUGACUUGUGGCUAGGGGUGAAAGGCCAAUCAAACCUGGAGAUAGCUGGUUCUCCCCGAAAGCUAUUUAGGUAGCGCCUCGGACGAAUACUACUGGGGGUAGAGCACUGUUAAGGCUAGGGGGUCAUCCCGACUUACCAACCCUUUGCAAACUCCGAAUACCAGUAAGUACUAUCCGGGAGACACACGGCGGGUGCUAACGUCCGUCGUGGAGAGGGAAACAACCCAGACCGCCAGCUAAGGUCCCAAAUUACUACUAAGUGGGAAACGAUGUGGGAAGGCUCAGACAGCCAGGAUGUUGGCUUAGAAGCAGCCAUCAUUUAAAGAAAGCGUAAUAGCUCACUGGUCGAGUCGGCCUGCGCGGAAGAUGUAACGGGGCUAAGUAGUAAACCGAAGCUGCGGCAAUAUACUUUUGUAUAUUGGGUAGGGGAGCGUUCUGUAAGCGGUUGAAGGUGUGUGGUAACGCAUGCUGGACGUAUCAGAAGUGCGAAUGCUGACAUGAGUAACGAUAAAGGGGGUGAAAAACCUCCUCGCCGGAAGACCAAGGGUUCCUGUCCAACGUUAAUCGGGGCAGGGUAAGUCGACCCCUAAGGCGAGGCCGAAAGGCGUAGUCGAUGGGAAACGGGUUAAUAUUCCCGUACUUCUUACAAUUGCGAUGGGGGGACGGAGAAGGCUAGGUGGGCCUGGCGACGGUUGUCCAGGUUCAAGUGCGUAGGCUUUAAGAGUUAGGUAAAUCCGGCUCUUUCUAAGGCUGAGACACGACGUCGAGCACCUACGGGUGUGAAGUCAUUGAUGCCAUGCUUCCAGGAAAAGCCUCUAAGCUUCAGAUUGUAAGGAAUCGUACCCCAAACCGACACAGGUGGUCGGGUAGAGAAUACCAAGGCGCUUGAGAGAACUCGGGUGAAGGAACUAGGCAAAAUGGUACCGUAACUUCGGGAGAAGGUACGCUCUCGACGGUGAAGUCCCUCGCGGAUGGAGCUAUUGAGAGUCGCAGAUACCAGGUGGCUGCAACUGUUUAUUAAAAACACAGCACUGUGCAAAAUCGUAAGAUGACGUAUACGGUGUGACGCCUGCCCGGUGCCGGAAGGUUAAUUGAUGGGGUUAGACUUCGGUCGAAGCUCUUGAUCGAAGCCCCGGUAAACGGCGGCCGUAACUAUAACGGUCCUAAGGUAGCGAAAUUCCUUGUCGGGUAAGUUCCGACCUGCACGAAUGGCGUAAUGAUGGCCACGCUGUCUCCACCCGAGACUCAGUGAAAUUGAAAUCGCUGUGAAGAUGCAGUGUACCCGCGGCUAGACGGAAAGACCCCGUGAACCUUUACUACAGCUUGGCACUGAACAUUGACCCUACAUGUGUAGGAUAGGUGGGAGGCUUUGAAGCACGUACGCCAGUAUGUGUGGAGCCGUCCUUGAAAUACCACCCUUGUAGUGUUGAUGUUCUAACGUCGACCCCUAAUCGGGGUUGCGGACAGUGCCUGGUGGGUAGUUUGACUGGGGCGGUCUCCUCCCAAAGAGUAACGGAGGAGCACGAAGGUGGGCUAAUCACGGUUGGACAUCGUGAGGUUAGUGCAAUGGCAUAAGCCCGCUUGACUGCGAGAAUGACAAUUCGAGCAGGUGCGAAAGCAGGUCAUAGUGAUCCGGUGGUUCUGAAUGGAAGGGCCAUCGCUCAACGGAUAAAAGGUACUCCGGGGAUAACAGGCUGAUACCGCCCAAGAGUUCAUAUCGACGGCGGUGUUUGGCACCUCGAUGUCGGCUCAUCACAUCCUGGGGCUGAAGUCGGUCCCAAGGGUAUGGCUGUUCGCCAUUUAAAGUGGUACGCGAGCUGGGUUUAGAACGUCGUGAGACAGUUCGGUCCCUAUCUGCCGUGGGCGUUGGAAGAUUGAAGGGGGCUGCUCCUAGUACGAGAGGACCGGAGUGGACGAACCUCUGGUGUUCGGGUUGUGUCGCCAGACGCAUUGCCCGGUAGCUAAGUUCGGAAUCGAUAACCGCUGAAAGCAUCUAAGCGGGAAGCGAGCCCUGAGAUGAGUCUUCCCUGAUACUUUAAGUAUCCUAAAGGGUUGUCGGAGACUACGACGUUGAUAGGUCAGGUGUGUAAGUGCUGUGAGGCAUUGAGCUAACUGAUACUAAUUGCCCGUGAGGCUUAACCAUACAACACCCAAGGGGUUU
rnacentral:rRNA from 1 species